rnacentral:misc_RNA from 1 species
AACGGUCUAUACCUGCGGUACCUGCGGAGGGAUCAUUAGUGAACGCCCUCACGGGCUUAUAACUAUUCCAAACCUCUGUGAACCGUGCCCUUCGGGGCUAUUUUACAAACAUGGUGUAAUGAGCGUCAUAUAUCAUAACAAAACAAAACUUUCAGCAAUGGAUCUCU